GGUGGCUCAGAGGUAGAGCACCUGCCUUGCAUGCAUGAGGCCCUGGGUUUGAUUCCUCGGCACCA
rnacentral:tRNA from 1 species